rnacentral:ncRNA from 1 species
UACUCUCGAGCGGUAAGUCCGCUACAGGUUGUUCUAGGUGUUCCCCUCCAUCGGUGGGCCAAAGCCUAGACGCCAAAAACCUGUAGGGCACGCUCGUUUU